UACGUAGGAGGCGAGCGUUGUCCGGAGUUACUGGGCGUAAAGGGCAUGCAGGCGGUCCGACACGUUUUGUGUGACAGCGGGUGGCUUAACUACCCGAGGAUACGAAAGACGGUUGGACUUGAGGACUCGAGAGGGACACGGAAUUCCGGGUGGAGUGGUGAAAUGCGUAGAGAUCCGGAGGAACACCGAAGGCGAAGGCAGUGUCCUGGCGAGUGACUGACGCUGAGGUGCGAAAGCCAGGGGAGCGAACGGG
rnacentral:rRNA from 1 species